ACUCCUACGGGAGGCAGCAGUAGGGAAUAUUGGUCAAUGGACGGAAGUCUGAACCAGCCAUGCCGCGUGCAGGAAGACGGCCUUCUGGGUUGUAAACUGCUUUUAUCAGGGAAGAAUAAGCUUCUUGCGAGAGGUGAUGCCGGUACCUGAGGAAUAAGCACCGGCUAACUCCGUGCCAGCAGCCGCGGUAAUACGGAGGGUGCGAGCGUUAAUCGGAAUUACUGGGCGUAAAGCGCAUGCAGGCGGCCUGUUAAGUCAGAUGUGAAAGCCCGGGGCUUAACCUCGGAAUUGCAUUUGAAACUGGCAGGCUAGAGUCUUGUAGAGGGGGGUAGAAUUUCAGGUGUAGCGGUGAAAUGCGUAGAGAUCUGAAGGAAUACCAGUGGCGAAGGCGGCCCCCUGGAGCAAAGACUAGACGCUCAGAUGCGAAAGCGUGGGGAGC
rnacentral:rRNA from 1 species